GGAACAACAAGGAGUCGCAAUCUGAACCUCAUCCCUUGUCCCAAUGAGGGCUACAAUGUUAAAUAUUUAAAAGAUACACAAAUUGGUCAUGCAGUUCUUUUCAUUCGACCACUCCAAAGGAGCCUGGAUCUCGAGGCUGCAUGUCAACCAGAAAGCAUGGUUGGACCACCUGCUAAAUGCAUUUCUUGUGGAGAGGAGUUUUCUUUUUCAGAAAUAAAAGAUCACAGUGAUGAAUGCAUGAGGAGAUCCAGCAAUUGGCGAUGGUGUGACUCGCCAUUUCUUCUCAACCAUCAUGCACAAACUUCAGAAUGGUUUUGAGAUUAAUUUCG